AGCUUCAGUAGCGUAUAUUAAAGUUGUUGCAGUUAAAAAGCUCGUAGUCGCAUUUCUGGCGAGAGGAUCCGGUCCGACCUUUUGGUGGGUUCUUGGGUCUCUUUCGCCAUCCUUGAGUGGUCCGUUCUGGCAUUAGGUUGUCGGAGCGUCAGCCGCUCAUCGUUUACUGUGAGAAAAUUAGAGUGUUCAAAGCAGGCUUAUGCCGUUGAAUAUAUUAGCAUGGAAUAAUAAGAUAGGACCUCGGUACUAUUUUGUUGGUUUGCGCACCAAGGUAAUGAUGAACAGGGACAGUUGGGGGUAUUUGUAUUUCGUUGUCAGAGGUGAAAUUCUUAGAUUUACGAAAGACAAACUACUGCGAAAGCAUUUACCAAGGAUGUUUUCA
rnacentral:rRNA from 1 species